CGAACAAAAUACAGCAGGUCUGACCGCGGGAAAAUGUCACGUGGUAUUUUUGAGGUUUGCGGUUUGCAGUUAAACGAUGUAAACGUGAAGCUAAAUGUCCCUAAUGUCCAAAUGCACUGCUCUCGUUACACAACAUGUGUAAAGGCAUACCCACACCUUUUCGCUCUUCUCGUGUGUUCGAACAUAGAGCGGACCAAGGAAAUCAAUUCCUGUUGCUGUGAAAGGUGGUGUUUCUCGUACUCGAAAUUCGGGUAGGGGAGGUGGUGGUGGAGCUUGAUAGGGUUUGCCUUCGAAUCUC